rnacentral:rRNA from 1 species
AUUGAACGCUGGCGGCAGGCCUAACACAUGCAAGUCGAGCGGUAGAGAGGUGCUUGCAUCUCUUGAGAGCGGCGGACGGGUGAGUAAUGCCUAGGAAUCUGCCUAGUGGUGGGGGAUAACGUUCGGAAACGGACGCUAAUACCGCAUACGUCCUACGGGAGAAAGCGGGGGGAUCUUCGGACCUCGCGCCAUUAGAUGAGCCUAGGUCGGAUUAGCUAGUUGGUGAGGUAAUGGCUCACCAAGGCGACGAUCCGUAACUGGUCUGAGAGGAUGAUCAGUCACACUGGAACUGAGACACGGUCCAGACUCCUACGGGAGGCAGCAGUGGGGAAUAUUGGACAAUGGGCGAAAGCCUGAUCCAGCCAUGCCGCGUGUGUGAAGAAGGUCUUCGGAUUGUAAAGCACUUUAAGUUGGGAGGAAGGGUAGUAACCUAAUACGUUGCUACUUUGACGUUACCGUACAGAAUAAGCACCGGCUAACUUCGUGCCAGCA